rnacentral:rRNA from 1 species
GAUGAACGCUAGCGACAGGCCUAACACAUGCAAGUCGAGGGGCAGCACAUGAGUAGCAAUACGAUGGUGGCGACCGGCGCACGGGUGAGUAACACGUAUGCAACCUGCCUGUAAGCGGGGGAUAACCCGGAGAAAUUCGGACUAAUACCGCAUAAUACUGUGAAUUUGCAUGAAUUUACAGUUAAAUAUUUAUAGCUUACAGAUGGGCAUGCGUAUGAUUAGAUAGUUGGUAGGGUAACGGCCUACCAAGUCAACGAUCAUUAGGGGUUCUGAGAGGAAGGUCCCCCACACUGGUACUGAGACACGGACCAGACUCCUACGGGAGGCAGCAGUGAGGAAUAUUGGUCAAUGGGCGAGAGCCUGAACCAGCCAAGUCGCGUGAAGGAAGACGGUUCUAUGAAUUGUAAACUUCUUUUGUAGAGGAAUAAAGUGGGUUACGUGUAGCCUUUUGUAUGUACUUUACGAAUAAGGAUCGGCUAACUCCGUGCCAGCAGCCGAC